rnacentral:rRNA from 1 species
CCUACGGGGAGGCAGCAGUGAGGAAUUUUCUGCAAUGGGCGAAAGCCUGACAGAGCAAUACCGCGUGAGGGAAGAAGGCUUACUGAGUUGUAAACCUCGGUGCCUUAAGGAAGAAGAUCUGACGGUACUUAAGGUGGAAAGCAUCGGCUAACCCCGUGCCAGCAGCCGCGGUAAGACGGGGGAUGCAAGUGUUAUCCGGAAUCACUGGGCGUAAAGCGUCUGCAGGUGGUUUCUUAAGUCCACUGUUAAACCUUGAGGCUCAACCUCAAAUCUGCAGUGGAAACUAAGAAACUUGAGGAUAGUAGGGGUAGAGGGAAUUUCCAGUGGAGCGGUGAAAUGCGUAGAUAUUGGAAAGACACCGAUGGCGAAGGCACUCUACUGGGCUAUGACUGACACUCAGAGACGAAAGCUAGGGGAGCAAAUGGGAUUAGAUACCCCAGUAGUCCUAGCCGUAAACGAUGGAUACUCGAUGUUGGACGUAUCGACCCGUUCAGUAUCUUAGCUAACGCGUUAAGUAUCCCGCCUGGGGAGUACGCGCGCAGAGUAGAACGUACAAGAAGUAGACGCGAGAGACGUAGACGACGACGACGACGAGGAGAGG